CUUCGGUGAGGUUCGCGAGCGGAGCCCAGGACGCCGUCUGUCAGUAAUCAAUAGUGAUAGCCCGCUAUGUAAUGACACACGUCCGGCAUAAUUCGACAGUGAAAUAUGGAGGUGUGGCUCUAAUCCAUAUCUCUUCUUUCUGUCUGAAGUAAAUGUCCAAGCAGUAGCUGCAAGGGUAGAACUCAGAGAGGAACACCAGAUGGGAAGAGCAUUUUGGGAAAAUCAGACUGCCUGGCAGGACAAAUUCCAACAGCUAGAGGAACAGUUUUCUACUUACCAAGAAGAAAAGGUCAAGUUACAGGAACGUCCACAGUUGUGUGAGCAACUGAGGGAUGAAAUGUUCUACCUUGAGCCCCAGAGGCAGAUAUCAGAAUUGUCAGACCAUCACAAAAUAGCAGAGAGGCAAAUAGUUGGCACAAGCCAUCCACGGUGGCUUCUCAUGGAGGAAGCACAGCUGGCCAACAUGGUUGCCACAGGUGCAAGCACUGUACUACAUUAUAUUUCAUCAUCAUAUUCUAAGUGUUGUAUCGGAUGAUGUAUUUAUAAUAGUUGAAGGUGAUACUUGUUGAUCUUGUAUCCCUUCUUUUGCUACAAAAAUGAGGCCACACAACACAAUGUGAUUUAUUUAGGUUUUCAUUGGGUAAUCAAGUAAAACUGUAUCUUGCAGUUUGAAGGCCUGUAAAUUGUAUCAGAUUAUGCAUAUAAUUUCCAGCCUCCGUGCAUGCUGCAGCUUGCUACUUGAUAUUAUGAAUCUGAUUACAGCAUUACAAUUUUUUUAUAUGACAGGGAAGACUACACACAAUUGUGGGAGGAAGCACUAACAUUUGUGUGGAAACAGUAUGUAAAAUAAACAAGAAAAACAUUAUUUUACUCCCUGUCAAUAUCCAAAUUGAAGUUAGGACAGUUGUUGGUGUUGCAACAACUCUACUUAUCAAAAGUUUCAUUUUUUAAUGCUAUGAUAAAAGCUUACUCCUGUAUAUUUAUUGAUAAGCUGUUACUAGUAGCUGGAAAGGACAUGCUUAUUAUGAUACAAUGUAUAUCUAAAUACAAGUGUUAAAAAAAUUAUGUUAAAUGUUGCAAAGAUCUACAUUGCUGGUUGAGAUUUGUUCUAAGUGGAGGAAGUGUUAAUCAUUUUUCUAACAAAUCACCAUCAUUAUACAAAUAUACAGUUACCUAACUUUGAGUAAUUAUUUAUUUAUGUAUUCUGCAUGGACAAAUACAAGGAUUUGUUUUGCAUAGUUUACAUAUUGAUCAUUUCCCCUUAUAACAUUGUGGGAAACAAUUACAUACAAUAGGCCUACAGAUAAAAAAUUGUUUUUUUUUUUUUUGGGUACAUGUAAAUACUAUUUAUACAAAUGAAAGUAUUCUACUCCUCUGAGAGGAAUUCCUUAAUACUAUAUAGCACACUGGACUCGCAUUCAGGAGGACGACGGUUCAAUCCUGCGUCCGGCCAUCCUGAUUUAGGUUUUCUGUGAUUUCCCUAAAUCUCCCCAGGCAAACGCUGGGAUGGUUCCUUUGAAAGGGUACGGCCGACUUCCUUCCCAGUCCUUCCCUAAUCCGAUGAGACCGAUGACCUCGCAGUUUGGUCUCUUCCCCCAAACAACCCAACCCUUUAAUACUAUAAAAACACUUAUCGCUGAGGAACUCCUUCAAGGCAAUUUCAAAGCAGCUCCCACUUAAGCUUUUUAAUUUUUUUUUUCGAAAUUUGUUAUAAAAUUUGAUCCCCAUGUAAUAGGGGCUCUUGUCAGCACUUUUUGUAUUUCUUUCUUUCCCGGUGAUAAUCAUGGUAGCUCCUAGUAUUGUACAUGUGCACUUCUCUAUUUAGAUGAUUGCACUGCUUGUAUUUUAGCAUCAGCUGAACAGUUUUAUAAAUAUAUAGUGAUGGUAGUGUUAGUAGUUUCUUAAUUUUGAAAUUGGCUUUGUAGGACUCAUUAUAUCUAAGCUUACACUGAAAUGAUGUCUCCAUAGGCACAGAGAAAAAUCUAAACUAUGAAAACUGCACUUCAUGUCCAUAGGAUCAUUCAGUUGGGCUGUCAGUAGCAAGUGCUGAAUUUUUUGAGAAUGUAGGCAUAUUGUCCCAUUUAACUUUGUUUCCUAUUGGAGUACAGAAUGCAAAACAUUUAGACUCUUAGUCUAGUUUAUAUUAAGGAUUGUUAAUGUGCUUUAAAGUAAGGAUGUAUAAGCCCAUCGUAUUUGUGUAUUUAUGUAGUAAUUUAUAUCUCCACUGAAAUAGGGUUUACCACAUCAGAAAUUUUAUGUAUUGUGCACAUAAAGAUAAAUUGGUUUACUACAGGUAGUUCUGCUAAGGAUUGUGUAGUAUAGUUCCAUUAAUACUAGAGCUAAUUUUAAAAAAGAAAUUGUUUUAUGUCACAUGUGAAUAUAAUGAUAGCCUGGGUGUUUUGUACUUGUGAAAGUUAUUAGAAAAAAAUAAAACAUUGUUGUCGUAA